ACGGGAGGCAGCAGUGAGGAAUAUUGGUCAAUGGGCGAGAGCCUGAACCAGCCAAGUAGCGUGAGGGAUGACUGCCCUACGGGUUGUAAACCUCUUUUGUCCAGGAAUAAAAAAUCCCUCGUGAGGGAUCUUGCAGGUACUGGUUGAAUAAGGACCGGCUAAUUCCGUGCCAGCAGCCGCGGUAAUACGGAAGGUCCGAGCGUUAUCCGGAUUUAUUGGGUUUAAAGGGUGCGCAGGCGGGGAGCCAAGUCAGCCGUCAAAUCGCGGAGCUCAACUCCGUCCAGCGGUUGAAACUGGUUCUCUUGAGUGCGGCAGAGGAAGGUGGAAUUCGUGGUGUAGCGGUGAAAUGCAUAGAUAUCACGAAGAACUCCGAUUGCGAAGGCAGCCUUCUGGGCCGUAACUGACGCUCAUGCACGAAGGUGUGGGUAUCAAACAGGAUUAGAUACCCUGGUA
rnacentral:rRNA from 1 species